AUUGAACGCUGGCGGCAGGCCUAACACAUGCAAGUCGAACGAGUGGCGGACGUGUGAGUAAUGUCUGGGAAACUGCCUGAGGGAGGGGGAUAACUACUGGAAACGGUAGCUAACACCGCAUACCAUCAGAUGUGCCCAUAUGGUAUUCGCGUGUUGGGGGGGUAACGGCUCACCAAGGCGACGAUCCCUAGCUGGUCUGAGAGGAUGACCAGCCACACUGGAAAUGAGACACGGUCCAGACUCCUACGUGAGUCAGCAGUGGGGAAUAUUGCACAAUGGGCGCAAGCCUGAUGCAGCCAUGCCGCGUGUGUGAAGAAGGCCUUCGGGUUGUAAAGUACUUUCAGCGGGGAGGCGUUACCCGCAGAAGAAGCACCGGCUAACUCCGUGCCAGCAGCCGCGGUAAUAC
rnacentral:rRNA from 1 species